rnacentral:rRNA from 1 species
CAGUCGCCGCGGGAACACGGAGGGCGCGAGCGUUACCCGGAUUUACUGGGCGUAAAGGGCGUGUAGGCGGCCUGGGGCGUCCCAUGUGAAAGGCCACGGCUCAACCGUGGAGGAGCGUGGGAUACGCUCAGGCUAGAGGGUGGGAGAGGGUGGUGGAAUUCCCGGAGUAGCGGUGAAAUGCGCAGAUACCGGGAGGAACGCCGAUGGCGAAGGCAGCCACCUGGUCCACUUCUGACGCUGAGGCGCGAAAGCGUGGGGAGCAAACCGGAUUAGAUACCCGAGUAGUCCCUGUCUCUUAUAC